AACGAUGGCUUCAUCAAAAUGUGGAAACUUAACCUUGAGUCCUUGGAGCCUCCGGUCCUCCUGGGGAAGGUGAAUAUACGGCCCGGUUGACCUGUCUGGCCGUGUGGAAGCCCACCACUCUACAGGAGCCUCCCCCAGAGGUCAAAACAGAACCUACCACAUCUCACGACGUCAAGGAUGUACUGGAGCUUGAGAAGAAGAGGAAGAGGGUCAGGAUCUCGACUGUAGAAGUGG